rnacentral:rRNA from 1 species
UUACCGAGUUCUAGGGGUCUUCGGACCUCUUCUCUCACACCCUAUGUGUACCUACCUCUGUUGCUUUGGCGGGCCGCGGUCCUCCGCGGCCGGCCCCCUAACCGGGGCUGGCCAGCGCCCGCCAGAGGACUACCAAACUCCAGUCAGUAAACGUAGCUGUCUGAUCAAAAGUUUAAUAAACUAAAACUUUCAACAACGGAUCUCUUGGUUCUGGCAUCGAUGAAGAACGCAGCGAAAUGCGAUAAGUAAUGUGAAUUGCAGAAUUCAGUGAAUCAUCGAAUCUUUGAACGCACAUUGCGCCCCUUGGUAUUCCGAGGGGCAUGCCUGUUCGAGCGUCAUUUCACCACUCAAGCUCUGCUUGGUAUUGGGCGCCGUCCUUCACCGGACGCGCCUCAAAGACCUCGGCGGUGGCGUCUUGCCUCAAGCGUAGUAGAAAACACCUCGCUUUGGAGGACGGGACGUUCGCUCGCCGGACGAACCUUCUGAAUUUUCUCAAGGUUGACCUCGGAUCAGGUAGGGAUACCCGCUGAACUUAAGCAUAUCAAUAAGCGGAGGAAAAGAAACCAACUGGGAUUGCCUUAGUAACGGCGAGUGAAGCGGCAAUAGCUCAAAUUU